UACAAAUCACUUUUUCCAGAGACUUAUUCUCUGCUUUGAUAGCUGGACAAAUACAGUUCCUGUGCUCAGAUUAUCCGAGUAAACACGCUUGUGUUUGAUUGGGGGCUGUGCAGCAACAUUCCAAGCUACUGAAGUGUGUGAAUCCACGGUUAAGUGGCUUCGAGACCCAAACGAAGGGUGACUUCAAAGAAGCACUGCCUAGGCAGAAAGCACGGUCGGUGAAAAAGUUCCUCUGAUAUAAUUAAACUUCUGAUACAACCGUACUUGUCAUCAGCCUACACAAGGGAAUGUGAAGAACGCUCACGCCUCUGAAUUUGAAGAACGGAUCUAAUAGCUAUGUUACAAUUCAGCUUUUAGUUGGUAGUUUAAAAUAACGAAACCAAAAC
rnacentral:lncRNA from 1 species